rnacentral:rRNA from 1 species
UACGUAGGGGGCAAGCGUUAUCCGGAUUUACUGGGUGUAAAGGGGGCGCAGGCGGGGAAGCAAGUCAGCGGUGAAAUCUAUGGGCUUAACCCAUAAACUGCCGUUGAAACUGUUUUUCUUGAGUGAAGUAGAGGCAAGCGGAAUUCCGAGUGUAGCGGUGAAGUGCGUAGAUAUUCGGAGGAACACCAGUGGCGAAGGCGGCUUGCUGGGCUUCAACUGACGCUGAGGCCCGAAAGUGUGGGGAGCAAAC